AACGAACGCUGGCGGCAUGCCUAACACAUGCCAGUCGAACGAGACCUUCGGGCCUAGUGGCGCACGGGUGAGUAACGCGUGGGAACCUGCCCUUAGGUUCGGAAUAACUCCCCGAAAGGGGUCCUAAUACCGGAUAAUGUCUUCGGACCAAAGAUUUCUCGCCUUUGGAUGGGCCCGCGUUGGAUUAGCUAGUUGGUAGGGUAAAAGCCUACCAAGGGGACGAUCCGUAGCUGGUUUGAGAGGAUGAUCAGCCACACUGGGACUGAGACACGGCCCAGACUCCUACGGGAGGCAGCAGUGGGGAAUAUUGGACAAUGGGCGAAAGCCUGAUCCAGCAAUGCCGCGUGAGUGAUGAAGGCCUUAGGGUUGUAAAGCUCUUUUACCCGGGAUGAUAAUGACAUUACCGGGAGAAUAAGCUCCGGCUAACUCCGUG
rnacentral:rRNA from 1 species